AGCGCAGGUGGUUUCUUAAGUCUGAUGUGAAAGCCCACGGCUCAACCGUGGAAGGUCAUUGGAAACUGGGGAACCUGAAUGCAGAAGAGGAGAGUGGAAUUCCAUGUGUAGCGGUGAAAUGCGUAGAUAUAUGGAGGAACACCAGUGGCGAAGGCGACUCUCUGGUCUGUUAUUGACACUGAGGCUCGAAAGCGUGGGGAGCAAACA
rnacentral:rRNA from 1 species